UACGAAGGGGGCUAGCGUUGUUCGGAAUUACUGGGCGUAAAGCGCACGUAGGCGGAUCGAUCAGUCAGGGGUGAAAUCCCAGGGCUCAGCCCUGGAACUGCCUUUGAUACUGUCGAUCUGGAGUAUGGAAGAGGUGAGUGGAAUUCCGAGUGUAGAGGUGAAAUUCGUAGAUAUUCGGAGGAACACCAGUGGCGAAGGCGGCUCACUGGUCCAUUACUGACGCUGAGGUGCGAAAGCGUGGGGAGCAAACAGG
rnacentral:rRNA from 1 species